rnacentral:rRNA from 1 species
CCUACGGGAGGCAGCAGUGAGGAAUAUUGGUCAAUGGACGAGAGUCUGAACCAGCCAAGUAGCGUGAAGGAUGACUGCCCUAUGGGUUGUAAACUUCUUUUAUAUGGGAAUAAAAUGUUUCACGUGUGGGAUUUUGUAUGUACCAUAUGAAUAAGGAUCGGCUAACUCCGUGCCAGCAGCCGCGGUAAUACGGAGGAUCCGAGCGUUAUCCGGAUUUAUUGGGUUUAAAGGGAGCGUAGGUGGAUUGUUAAGUCAGUUGUGAAAGUUUGCGGCUCAACCGUAAAAUUGCAGUUGAAACUGGCAGUCUUGAGUACAGUAGAGGUGGGCGGAAUUCGUGGUGUAGCGGUGAAAUGCUUAGAUAUGACGAAGAACUCCGAUUGCGAAGGCAGUUCACUGGACUGCAACUGACACUGAGGCUCGAAAGUGUGGGUAUCAAACAGGAUUAGAUACCCUUGUAGUC